UGUUAAUGAGUCCCUGCCUUUGGCGGAAGAAUUUCUACACUUACCACAAGCAAGCCGGGAAAGGAGCCGGACUUGAUUUUCCCGUCCAAUUGCACGUUUAAAAGUUCCAAAUGAGCAUGCGUGGCCACACAGGAAGCAGGCAGCCUUUGUCAUCCCGGGGGUCUGAGCAGUGCAUUGAGCGGCAGCUUAAGGCGUCAUCUAUGGAUUCAGCGAGACACUUCACCUGGCAGAAAGAGCAGAGGAGGCAUUAACUGACAGCACAUCAGUUAGGUCCAUGGUUAUAACUUUUGCAAGAAGAGGCCUCCAUAUGUUGGUGCAUUGAUACAAGAAAGAGAGGUAAAUGCAACAAAGCAUGACAAAUCAAAAUCCUCAACGGUAUAAUUAAGGAGGCGCAGCACAACCUUUGCAAAGGAGACAGCUGGCACCAGAUGUAAGACCAAGACAGCAAGCAGUUUACUAGGGUUACCAUCUGCCCAGUAAUUGACCGGCCUGCCCUGUAAAAAUGAAGCUUGAUCCCAAUGUUAUUAAUAGGCACAAUAUGCAUAAAAAUAUAUGAAGGGCGGUAUUUUUUUCAAGAAAAAGUGGCAACCCUACC